rnacentral:lncRNA from 1 species
CAUUAACCCUGAUUCGUGAGUCCCGGGAGAGGAGCCCCCCACCAGGCCCGGCUGGAUGCGGCCUGCGUCGGUCCGGUGGUCUCAGGAAUGUGCGGAGGGAGUGUUUGCAGUCCAUCUUGCAGCAGCGUCACCACCCCAUCCUGCCCCUGCUGAGGGAGUCGGACCUGUGCUCAGCUGCUGCGGAGCCUCCUGUUUCGUGGAGGAGCUUCAGUCUUCACCUUCACCUUCACCUUCACCGUGGACGUUGUCUCCUGGCUUCAAGCGUGGACUCCUGAGCCUCCAGCGCAGCCCUUUGGGCUCUGAUACAGACUGGCAUGGGAUAGUACACUGAGCUCCAGGCCGUCAGCUCUUGGGGUGCAAACACCUUCCACACUGCAGCGGCCACGUGAGCCGGGCGUGCAAACCCUCCUCUAGUGUAUACCUUGCAUGAAAUCUGUUUCCCUCGUGAGCUUGGACAAAUACAGACAGAUCUGGGUGUCAGGUGAACCUUGCUGUCCCAAGGGGGCCGGGUGGAGGGUGGGCACCGUCAGGGCAGGCGUGUCCUGGCCUGGGAGAGACUGAGGGGCUGAGGGGCCAUGGAGUGCCCCUCCCAGCAUGAAGCACUGUGCUGUUCAUCAC